GGCCGAAAAAGAAGAAACACACAGAGGGAGGCAGGGCGGUUUUGAGAGAAUGAGAAAGAGCGCGGGAGAGGUGGAGAGCUCGAGAUGAAGGUCGAGGGAAGUUUAGCUUGAAAUGGAUUUUGGAAAAUGGUAGAGAUGGAGAGUGAGCUAGCAAUAGCCAGAGCCCGAGCUUGAGCUCGAUGAAGAGAUAGAGAAAUGAAAGAGCCAAGGAUGGGAAAGUAGCAAGUCGGCGGUGGAUAAACCGAAUAGAGAGGGGAACGAGGUAGAUAAAAUUGAGGGUAGAUUGAGAUAGGAAAAUUGGAGAACACCUUGAGGAAGAUCUUGACAUGGUGAUCCUUUAUUGAUGGGUUUUGGAGAGAAUACUGAUGGGAAGUAAAGAGUAUGGAAUGGGGGUAGAACGACUAGGGGAAGCUGAUUGUAUUAAGCUUCUAAGCUUAUGACUUAUACUCUACCUUGUUGUUUGCUCAAAGGUGCGGCGAAUCGGCAAUCAUGUCAUUGUCUCAGUAUUUAUAGACGAUAUGUGUAAACGUGAUGAUAAAACCGCAGCUAGCUCUAUUCAUCAGUCUCUGCAAUCACACUUUCUCAGCAAAUGGGCUGGCUUGAUUCAAUAUCUCGACGAUCAAGCUUGGGUCGCGCUUGAGCUGACGAUUAAUAUUCCAGUCAAGGUGAGCCAACCUCGAGCUAAUUAAGAGCAUAGCACGAGGGGCUCAGGAGAGUAAUCAAGAUUCGCUUGCUUAUUUAUUGACUUCAAAUUAUGGACAUGUUAUAAGACAAAAAUUGCCCGUUAUCUCAGUUAAUCCGGUGAUCGUUUUGACCAAAAAAGAUCAUAAAGCAGGUGCAACAGAGACGCAGUUCUGUUUUGCGGGGAAAGAAUGAAACUUUAGCACGGGGUGCCAAAGUCAAUACGGGUUGAAAUAGUCCCAAAGAAAGGAGUGUAUGGUACUUGAAGGCCCAAAGAAAUAGUCCUUGGAGCAGGAGAAAAUUGGUAAAGUUAUAAGAGAACCGACAAGGCCUUUGGUCAGCUACUGAGUUGGUCAUGGAAAGAGCGUCUCUUUCUCGCAUGACAAUUGGAGCAAUAUGGGUCCUAUUGCUGAUAUUCGUGUUUGAUUGUGGUCUGCAUUUUUUUCCAUCUAUCCAACUAAAAGCAUAAACUUAGUAUGCGCAAUAUAUAUGGAGUUUUGGGAUUUGUAAUUCUGUAAAUAUCGGUUUGGUUAUUCUCUUGUACACUUUCCAGAAUACAUUAGUCCUGGUUUAGGAGUAUAGCUCCAGCUUAAGGAUACUAGACAGGAACCUAUUAUAGAGAUUCACAUCUUGUACUGUAUAUCUAUGUUCUUGUCUUAAAAUGAAUGAAUGAAAUUCUCCAGCAGACUUAUUGGUCUGGACCAA